rnacentral:rRNA from 1 species
GACGAACGCUGGCGGCGUGCUUAACACAUGCAAGUCGAACGGGCUUCUGGGGUUCUGGCUUUUGGUUGGGGUUCUGGGGGUUAGUGGCGAACGGGUGAGUAACACGUGAGUAACCUGCCCUUCACUUCUGGAUAACCGCUUGAAAGGGUGGCUAAUACGGGAUGUUUCUGGGUCUGUCGCAUGGCGGGUUCGGGAAAGAUGGCACUGUUUGGUGUUUUUGGUGGGGGAUGGGCUCGCGGCCUAUCAGCUUGUUGGUGGGGUGAUGGCCUGCCAAGGCUUUGACGGGUAGCCGGCCUGAGAGGGUGGGCGGUCACACUGGGACUGAGAUACGGCCCAGACUCCUACGGGAGGCAGCAGUGGGGAAUAUUGCACAAUGGGCGGAAGCC